AACGAACGCUGGCGGCGUGCCUAACACAUGCAAGUCGUGCGAGAAAGUUCCUUCGGGAGCGAGUAAAGCGGCGCACGGGUGAGCAACACGUAGGUAACCUGCCCCCCAGUCUGGAACAACUAGAGGAAACUCUAGCUAAUGCCGGAUGAGACCACGAUCCCUUCGGGGGUUGCGGCCAAAGAUGGCCUCUACUUGUAAGCUAUCGCUGAGGGAUGGGCCUGCGGGCCAUUAGCUUGUUGGUGAGGUAACGGCUCACCAAGGCUGUGAUGGCUAGCUGGUCUGAGAGGAUGACCAGCCACACUGGGACUGAGACACGGCCCAGACUCCUACGGGAGGCAGCAGUGGGGAAUAUUGCGCAAUGGGCGAAAGCCUGACGCAGCGACGCCGCGUGGGUGAUGAAGGCC
rnacentral:rRNA from 1 species